rnacentral:rRNA from 1 species
UACGUAGGGGGCAAGCGUUAUCCGGAUUUACUGGGUGUAAAGGGAGCGUAGACGGCAGAGCAAGUCUGAAGUGAAAGCCCGCGGCCCAACUGCGGGACUGCUUUGGAAACCGCCCGGCUAGAGUGCUGGAGAGGUAAGCGGAAUUCCUAGUGUAGCGGUGAAAUGCGUAGAUAUUAGGAGGAACACCAGUGGCGAAGGCGGCUUACUGGACAGUAACUGACGUUGAGGCUCGAAAGCGUGGGGAGCAAACAGG